UACGUAGGUGGCAAGCGUUGUCCGGAUUUACUGGGCGUAAAGGGCGUGCAGGCGGUCUGUUAAGUUCAGGGUGAAAGCUCCCGGCUCAACUGGGAGAGGUCCUUGGAUACUGGCAGACUUGAGGAGGGUAGAGGAGAGUGGAAUUCCCGGUGUAGUGGUGAUAUGCGUAGAUAUCGGGAGGAACACCAGUGGCGAAGGCGGCUCUCUGGGCCCUACCUGACGCUGAGACGCGAAAGCGUGGGGAGCGAACCGGG
rnacentral:rRNA from 1 species